GACGAACGCUGGCGGCGUGCUUAACACAUGCAAGUCGAACGGAAAGGCCCUGCUCUUGCGGGGUGCUCGAGUGGCGAACGGGUGAGUAACACGUGAGUAACCUGCCCUUGUCAUUGGGAUAACUCCAGGAAACUGGGGCUAAUACCGGAUAGGAGCUCCUGCUGCACGGGGGGGGUUGGAAAGAUUCGGCGGUUGGGGAUGGACUCGCGGCUUUUCAGCUUGUUGGGGGGGUAGUGGCGUACCAAGGCUUUGACGGGUAGCGGGCCUGAGCGGGUGACCGGCCACAUUGGGACUGAGAGACGGCCCAGACUCCUACGGGAGGCAGCAGGGGGGAAUAUUGCACAAUGGGAGGAAGCGUGAUGCAGCAACGCCGCGGGCGGGAUGACGGCCUUCGGGUUGUAAACAGCUUUCGCCUGUGACGAAGCGUGAGUGACGGUAAUGGGUAAAGAAGCACCGGCUAACUACGUG
rnacentral:rRNA from 1 species